GGGCGCGUGGUCUAACGGUAGGAUAUCGCCUUCGCAAGGCGGGGACUGGGGGUUCGAUUCCCCCCGCGUCCA
rnacentral:tRNA from 1 species